CUAACGGCGAGUGAAGCGGCAACAGCUCAAAUUUGAAAUCUGGCCCCCAGGGCCCGAGUUGUAAUUUGCAGAGGAUGCUUUUGGCGCGGUGCCUUCCGAGUUCCCUGGAACGGGACGCCAUAGAGGGUGAGAGCCCCGUCUGGUCGGACGCCUAGCCUGUGUAAAGCUCCUUCGACGAGUCGAGUAGUUUGGGAAUGCUGCUCUAAAUGGGAGGUAUAUGUCUUCUAAAGCUAAAUACCGGCCAGAGACCGAUAGCGCACAAGUAGAGUGAUCGAAAGAUGAAAAGAACUUUGAAAAGAGGGUUAAAUAGUACGUGAAAUUGUUGAAAGGGAAGCGCUUGUGACCAGACUUGGGCCCGGUGGAUCAUCCAGCGUUCUCGCUGGUGCACUCCGCCGGGUUCAGGCCAGCAUCAGUUCGCCGCGGGGGAAAAAGGCUUCGGGAACGUGGCUCCUACGGGAGUGUUAUAGCCCGUUGCAUAAUACCCUGGGGCGGACUGAGGUUCGCGCUCCGCAAGGAUGCUGGCGUAAUGGUCAUCAGCGACCCGUCUUGAAACACGGACCAAGGAGUCGUCUUCGUAUGCGAGUGUUCGGGUGUAAAACCCCUACGCGUAAUGAAAGUGAACGCACGUGAGAGCUUCGGCGCAUCAUCGACCGAUCCUGAUGUUCUCGGAUGGAUUUGAGUAAGAGCAUACGGGGCCGGACCCGAAAGAAGGUGAACUAUGCCUGUAUAGGGUGAAGCCAGAGGAAACUCUGGUGGAGGCUCGCAGCGGUUCUGACGUGCAAAUCGAUCGUCAAAUAUGGGCAUGGGGGCGAAAGACUAAUCGAACCUUCUAGUAGCUGG
rnacentral:rRNA from 1 species